AGAAACAACCGUGUUAAGUUUUUCAUUUUAUUUUCAUUCUCGUCCGAUCACCGAAGUUAAUCAACUGGAGCCCGGUUAGUACUUGGAUCGGUGACCGCCUGGGAAUACCGGGUGCUGUAGGCU
rnacentral:rRNA from 1 species